UACAGAGGUCCCAAGCGUUAGGCGGAAUCACUGGGCUUAAAGCGUGUGUAGGCGGAUGCCUAAGUACCUUGUGAAAUCCCACGGCUUAACCGUGGAACUGCUGGGUAUACUGGGUGUCUUGAGCCAUCUAGGGGCCUGCGGAACAAACGGUGGAGCGGUGAAAUGCGUAGAUAUCUGGAGGAACACCGGUGGCGAAGGCGGCAUCCUGGACCGGUAUUGGACGCUGAUGAGCGAA
rnacentral:rRNA from 1 species